GUCCUUUCGAGGACAUCCAAUAAAAUUGGAACGAUACAGAGAAGAUUAGUAUGACCCUUGUGCAAGGAUGACACGCACAAAUCGAGAAAUAACAUUGAAGAGU